rnacentral:lncRNA from 1 species
UUUUGUUUCCUGUCUUUUAAAAUAGCAUCCUAUUUUUGUUUCAUGGGUGUAAUAUCCUCUCUUAUUCUUGAGAAUAAGUCUUGCUUUCUUCCAAUUUGCUUCUUUCUGUUUAUUUUUAUUGUUAGUUUGCUUGUGUGCUUUGAUUUGUUUUCAUUAUUUGUUCUCUGUCUUCCAUGUUAGCAGUUUUCCUCAGAUAUCUGGUAUUCUGUGGCAAAUGUUACUAGUGUCCUGCCCAUACUCUCAGCUCCUGUGAAUGUUCAUUGUUAAUGGAUCAGAGCUGCCCUCUUUCUCUAGACAAUUGACCUCAGCCAGGAGCUGUCUUGCCAGGAGGUUAAGGUCUCCUCUCUGGCAGCCCACAGUCAACAAUUGAUUAGUAUGUGGAUACAAACCAGCCCUCUUGCUUCAAGUUGAGAUCAACUCUAUGAUGCAGUUCACACUCCCAGGUUCCCUAUGGGAUCAGACUGAGGCUAGACUUCAGCUGAGACCACAUCCUUACUCAGCUCCUUCCCCUGCUGCUUCUGCAGGAGGUGAGAUGUGGGGAGUGGGGGAGGCUUUUCCUGAGAGCCCACUCUCAAUAAAUCACAUGCACUGGAAUUCCCAUCUCAGCUUCUGUUUCUAGGGAACCUAAGACGUGACCUUUGGCUGUCUGCUCUUAGAGUAAAGGCCUGAAAAGCUUCUUGAAAGCCCUGAGUGCAAGAGUUGGGCUUGUCAACUCAGAGACUCACUGUUGGGAGACGGAGGUGAUCAUUUGUUGGAAACUCCAAUGCCAGCAUUCUGAGUUCUUUCCUUUUUGGCUGGUCAGAAAUCCCAGAAAAGGGGGGUGGAGCGUGGCUGCCAGUGAUUUGGGAAGUGAGCAGAAAAGAAAGCCGAUGAUCUCAGCCUGCAGUGAGUAAAUAUUCACUUAAUGCUCCUGUUGUUCACAUGAAACCUUUGUUCUCAGCCGUGCCUGGUGCCCACACUUCAGAGACCCUCUGUUUAACCCUCUCCAGAGACUGAAUCUUCAGUCCUCUGCCUGCUUGGAGAGGGCCCUGCAGCGUGGAGGGUAGGAGAGGGGAACUAGGACUUUAACUUUUUCCCAGUCACCUUUCACCCAGUUCUCCUGAUUUUGGCUUGCUCCAUUCCAGAGCUAUCUGACUGCCAAUUCCUUUUUUUUUUUUUUAGGAUUUUGCCAUGAAAAUAGGGCUGUUCUUAGCUUUCCCUGGGUUUCAGCUUUCUUGGGGCUGCUAAGUCAAUUACCACUCAUCCAUCUGUCUUCUAGCUUCCAAAAUUCUUUUUGCUAAUGUCUCUUCUUCUGUCGUUUCUGCCCUCAUGAGUUUGUGUCUUUUUAGAAAACAACUCCUUUAUAGUUGUUUUCAUGGGUUUCAGGAGGGAGAAAGAGGAAAUGUGGGAGCAAAAGGAAACCAUCUUAACCUAGGGGAAAAAAAACCUCUGGUGAUAUUAAGACAUUUCCUCUCAGCAUGCCCCUCCUGUGAGUCCCUGUGGAUGACAGACAGGCAAGCGAGAACUCCAGGGAAGGGAGCCAGAGGCCUGUGAUGGAAGCUGUGUCUCCCCUACAGAGUUCAAGCUUCUUCCCCGAGUCACGGCCUUCACCUGCCUCCGAGGGUAUAAAGGGCUGAGUCCUGAUUACGAUCAAGUGGGUUAGAACAGCGGAAAGCCAAGAUAAAUCAGGGAAGCCUGUCUAGCGCAGGUGCCGCAAGUAGCAGGAGAAGCAAAAGAUACUGAGUCUCAUCUUUCUAAUGAGAGAGCUCACCCUUCUAGCUCUGCUUGUAUGACUCUCUGACACCAGAAGUCAUUCCAGAAAGCCUGCCUACUUCCUUGCCCUCGCCCUCUUUCCUGUCCCUUGCUUUGGGAUGAGGUGAAGGUGGUUGAGAGCUGUUUAGGUAGAUUGGAUAGGUUGAAAUGGGGGAAGAAGUAAACCACCAUAGUUCCUUUUUCCUAGAACGGGUUGUGGGCAAAGAUAUCAGCCCGCUUCACUUCCUCUUUCAAGCUCAGACCUAAGAACCCAGCAAAGAGAAAAGGCCGCAACACAGUUGGGUGGGAGAACUCAGGAGGGGCAGGAAUUGUGGUGUUGGGGUAUUCUAAUGGGUAGUAGUGGUAAAGACAGGAGGACCUGAGCUACGCAGCUGGCUUUGCUGCACAGACAUAACUUGAAAGUUCCCUGAUGGUCACCUGUAAGCAACAGGGGGGUGGAAGUCAGUGGAUAAAUACUCCAGCCUCCUCAUCAUUUGGGAGGACAGUGUUGAGGCUGUUCCACAAAGUUUCUCAGUGGGUUCCCAGCAGCAUGGAGCCCCAGUUGCCCAUGGCAGUUACGAGUCCUUCAACACAUGUUAGUAUUGGCUUCUCGACCUUCUCCCUUCCGUAUCUUGCUUUCCCCAUUUCUUUAUUCCUAUUUCCUGGGCUCACCUCUGAAGUAAAUUACCUGCAUUGCAGCCCUCAUCUCAGAGUCUGCUCUUGGGGGAAUCCACACUAAAACAGGUGUCCUCCAACCCAGAAGGGAGUCAACAGGCUGCACCACCCCUGGGAAAUUUUGCCUCCACUUCCUCCAUCUGUGACUGGUCUCAGCUAGGUAGCUCCCCCACGGGAUGCUGAGCACAUUUAUAUUUUCAAGAGCUCUGAGUUCUGUUUGGGUGAUUGGGCCUAUGUGUGGCAGAAAGGCAACAUGGAUCGUUGGUGGCUGGGGAAACAGAACUCCUACACAGCCUGACCCAAAGCUACCGCACACAUAGGAACCCACAUUUCCUCCCCACUUGUGCUGUUUCACACUCAUGCAUACUCAUCCUGAAUUGAGAAGCAGUUCUGUCCAUCCAAAGGCAGAGUCACCCUCCAGCUAGAGGUCCACAUGGGCUGUGAAGAGGGGAGGACCAUCGGGAGGGUUCUAGCAGGAGGAGAUCAGCAGAAGACUCUGGAAUUCUCUGAUGAAGGGGCUCAGGGAACACGGUAGCACACACCUCAGUUUCUUACAGAAAUAGUGGCACUCCUUGAAGGGCUCGUUCAGAGCUCUAGAUAAUUAAGCAGUCAAGUGAUUAGCCAAUAUGAGGGAUGUUUUUGGGAUAGUUCCUACCACCCAACAGAUGGAUAAGCCCCACCAGGUGGGGAGGAUGGACAGAGGGGCUGGGCUGUGGACAAUCUUGGAUUUCCAGCUUCUCUUUGAAAGACUGAUUUUUGCCUUUAUCAGCCAAGCAGUCAUUCAACAAACAGAUCCAAGAUGACUAAAACCAGCCCGUUCCCACUACAGCUACCAUCCAGAAAGCUGCUGUUCCAAAAUUAGUCACAAACAUUCGAUUUAAAAUUAGAUGUCAUUUCUUUUUCAGAAGAUGGAGGAGUCUUAAAGGACUUCUGACCAUAUGGGUAGGUGCAGAGUUUUCUGAGAAAUGGAUUGGAGAUGAGGAAAAUGCUUUUUCUUUUUUUUUUAAGGAAGAUUAGCCCUGAGCUAACUGCUGCCAAUCCUCCUCUUUUCGCUAAGGAAGACUGGCCCUGAUCUAACAUCCAUGCCCAUUUUCCUCUACUUUAUAUGUGGGACGCCUACCACAGCAUGGCUUGCCAAGCGUCGCCAUGUCCGCACCUGGGAUCCGGACCGGCAAACCUUGGGCCAGUGAAGCGGAACGUGCGCACUUCACCGUUGCGCCACUGGGCCGGCCCCAGAAAAUACUUUAAAGAAACUAGAAUGCAGAUAGGAUCACCGAUCAGCAGAUGAAUCCCCAGCUGGAGACACCAGGAGACCAGAAACUCUGACUUCUCCCCCAAGAGGAACAAGGAACAAUCCACUACUGGGGACAGAAGGACAGGAUCCUGCCAUGCAUGUUGUGGAAACUGUGAGGCCGAGUUCCAGCUGGCCGGUCCCAAGGGGAAACUGUCUCCGUGACUCCAAAAGGCAGCUGAGCUAAGCGAUGCCUCAACAAAAUUUGAAUGAGUCUCCCUGAAAUAGCAACUGAACAUGGCUCCUGCUCCUCACAUCCUUACAUCCUCUCUCUCCCUCUGCUAAUUUUCUCGAGGAUGAAGGACAUGAAGCUGGAGCCACUCCACCAUUUACCCUACAGCCUGUUUGGACUAGCAAAUUUCUAGCCAAGCUUUCCAAACAAAUAAACAAAACCGAUUUCCAAAAACUGGGCAGGGGAAGGAAACCACAAGAAGGGAGGAGAAGGCAAAGGGAGCUCAGCAUUUCUCCCCGCUGUGGUGCCUCCCUGGCCCACCAGGGAGAAUCACCUCCUCAACCACUGUAUGCCCACUGUGCACCAGGCACCUGCUAGGUCUCAAGGAGAUGUCAUUCCUAUUGUUAAAGGGCUCAUCUU